UACGUAGGGUGCAAGCGUUAAUCGGAAUUACUGGGCGUAAAGCGCACGUAGGCGGCAUCGUAAGUGUCCGGUGAAAUCCCACGGCUCACCCGUGGAACUGCCUGGCAGACUGCGAUGCUCGAGUGUGGUAGGGGAGAGCGGAACUCCUGGUGGAGCGGUGAAAUGCGUAGAUAUCAGGAGGAACACCGGUGGCGAAGGCGGCUCUCUGGUCCACAACUGACGCUGAGGUGCGAAGCUAGGGGAGCAAACGGG
rnacentral:rRNA from 1 species